rnacentral:rRNA from 1 species
CUCAACGAGAGACUCGGUGAAAUCAUAGUACCUGUGAAGAUGCAGGUUACCCGCGACAGGACGGAAAGACCCCGUGGAGCUUUACUGUAGUCUGAUAUUGAAAUUCGGUACAGCUUGUACAGGAUAGGUAGGAGCCUUAGAUACGUGAGCGCUAGCUUACGUGGAGGCGUUGGUGGGAUACUACCCUCGCUGUAUUGGAUUUCUAACCCGCACCAUUAAUCAUGGUGGGAGACAGUGUCAGAUGGACAGUUUGACUGGGGCGGUCGCCUCCUAAAGAGUAACGGAGGCGCUCAAAGGUUUCCUCAGAAUGGUUGGAAAUCAUUCAUAGAGUGUAAAGGCACAAGGAAGCUUGACUGCGAGACUUACAAGUCGAGCAGGGUCGAAAGACGGACUUAGUGAUCCGGUGGUUCCGCAUGGAAGGGCCAUCGCUCAACGGAUAAAAGCUACCCCGGGGAUAACAGGCUUAUCUCCCCCAAGAGUUCACAUCGACGGGGAGGUUUGGCACCUCGAUGUCGGCUCAUCGCAUCCUGGGGCUGUAGUCGGUCCCAAGGGUUGGGCUGUUCGCCCAUUAAAGCGGUACGCGAGCUGGGUUCAGAACGUCGUGAGACAGUUCGGUCCCUAUCCGUCGUGGGCGUAGGAAAUUUGAGAGGAGCUGUCCUUAGUACGAGAGGACCGGGAUGGACAUACCUCUGGUGUACCAGUUGUCGUGCCAACGGCAUCGCUGGGUAGCUAUGUAUGGACGGGAUAAGUGCUGAAAGCAUCUAAGCAUGAAGCCCCCCUCAAGAUGAGAUUUCCCAACUUCGGUUAUAAGAUCCCUCAAAGAUGAUGAGGUUAAUAGGUUCGAGGUGGAAGCAUAGCGAUAUGUGGAGCUGACGAAUACUAAUCGAUCGAAGACUUAAUCAAAUU